GCCGACGUAGCUCAGCUGGCAGAGCAAUCGCCUUGUAAGUGAAAGGUCGCCGGUUCGAAUCCGGCCGUCGGCUCCA
rnacentral:tRNA from 1 species